GUGGAGCUGGGUCUUAGCGUUGAGAUGGAGAUCUCUGGGAGAGCUUUCGCCAUUUGAUAUUACGUGGAGCCAGGAGGUCUCUGGUGGACCAAUGUCCUAACUCGGCUCUCCCAUCUCAGAGGCACAGGCCUGACACCCGGCUGGAGCACCAAGACCCUGUCAGCCCCACGGCUUUGGGGAAGUCUAAGGUUUUCUGCCAGCAUUCAGUAGGUGUUCUGUAGGAGUUGUUCCACAUGUAUAUGUAUUUCUGAUGUAUUUGUGGAGAGGAAGGUGAUCUCCACGUCUUACUCCUCUGCCAUCUUGAAAGUCUCGCCCUCUCAUUGUAGUUUUGAUUUGCAUUCCUCGAAUAAUUAUCUAUGUUGAGCAUCUUUUCAUGUGCCUACUGGCCAUCUGCGUGUCUUAUUUGGAGAAAUGUUUAUUUAGGUCUUCUGCCCAUUUUUGAUUGGGUUGGUUGUUUUUUUGUUAUUGAGUUUUAUGAGCUGCUUGUAUAUUUUGGAAAUUAAGCCCUUGUCAGUCGCAUCAUUUGCAAAUAUUUUCUCCCAGUCUGUAGGUUGUCUUUUCAUUUUGCUUAUGGUUUCCUUUGCUAUGCCAAAGCUUUUACAUUUAAUUAGGUUUAGGUUUAAUUGGGUCCCAUUUGUUUAUUUUGCGUUUGUUUCCUUUGCCUUGGAAGACUGACCUAAGAAAACAUUGCUAUGACUUAUGUCAGAGAAAGUUUUGCCAAUUUUCUCUUCUAGGAGUUUUAUGGUGUCAUGUCUUAUAUUUAAGUCUUUAAGCCAUUUUGAGUUUAUUUUUGCACAGCACGUGAGGGAGUGUUCAAGGCAAGUCUUUUGAGGUGGCGAACAGUUAGCUGGAGGGGACUGCCAGUAGGGGUUCAAAGAAGCCAAGGAAAGUGAGACUUUUUUUGAAGGUGGGAGUGGUCAGCCGUGCCCAGAUGCUUCUGAGAAUUCAAGUGAGAUGUACCUGUGUGUCCCAGCAGGUGAGAACAAAUGAGGUCACAACACCUUACUCAGCCAAAUCUCAAUGGCCCAGGCUCCUCACAAAGUCUGCUCUGCCCACCACUACCGCCAAAUAUAUAUGAAACCCAGGAAAAUAGCAUAUUUUAUUCAACAAAUUCCUGACCUACCUCUGUAAUGCUUUUGCCCCAACAUAUCUGGCUGCGUGUUCUUUGAUUGACUCUCCAUACAACAAUGAUUUUGUAACGUCAUGUUCUAUGAGAGAAGAGAAAAAUAAUUCAUUCUUUCUCUACCCUUUUCUUAUUGGUAGAUUUAAAAACUUUCAGCUUCAUAUCUUAUUAUGGAUAAUGAAAGACAGCUUUUAAGGAUUGUUGUCAAAUUUAGGGAAACUUCCAUCAAACUACUAUUAUGUAUGAGCUGUAAGAUUUGGAAUACUUCCCAAGACUCUCUUCUAGCUUGGUACAUUUCACAUGCGCAUAUCACAUCACAUUAUCGUGAUUCAUUCCAUGGUCCUUCCCACUCCUGUCAGGUCAGUCAGCACGGUGGAUAUUAGGAAUGUUCUAGAAGCCAUUUUGCACCGGGACGGCCAGCAGUAACUCACACGGGAAUGAAUCCAUGCCACACAAAUGCACCCCACCGAACCCAAACUCAGUUCACCUUUAGCUGAAUCCCAAAAAUGCCCACGCCCGCUCCAGUGCCGUUUAACCUAAAGAGAUGGAGGGAAGGUCAGUGUGGAAAGAAGCAGAGGUUUUAGCCAAUUUUGUCUAAAAUAUUUUAUUUUGCAAACUUUACAAACGCAUACGACCACAUGAAUACAUUGCUAGUGUAACCGAAAGUGGGGUCUGGCUGCUGGCCGCUCAAAAGCCAGUAAAGAGUCAAGCUUGGUGGAAAGGAAAGUUUGCUUUAUUUCGGAUGCUUGCAACCAGGAGGAAGGGCAGGUGCCUGUCCAAAGGCCACCUCCGCCCCCCCCACCCCAGCCCCCACCGACAGCUGGUGGGCAGGAGCUUUUAUAGGCAGGAGGGGGCUACCUGCAGAAACAGCACAGUCCGCUCUGACCGUCAUCUUGAAAUUAAUCAUGAGGUGCUCUGAAGGGCGUCAUCUUGAUUGUUUUAAGUACAGUUAAUUUCAGUUCCAGGGUCGGUUUGUUCCCAUUUCCUUGAGGCCAAUUUUCGGAAUUGUAGCAGCUUAUGUCACAGCUACAGCCUGGUCAUCAUGUGGUUGACUUCUUCCACCUGGUGGGUUUCAGUAUCUGCAAGACAGCUCACAGGAUGUGGCUCAGAAUAUUAUCUAUAGCCCUUGAGGAGGAACCAAAGGUCCUUGACUCUGCUUAAUGACUAAACUAUUAUUAUUUGGUCUCCUUUGACUGUUUUCCUUUGUUUCUGCAUUUUCUCAUUUCUCUGAUUAAACUUAUUCUUUGGCUAAAGUUUUUCCACAGACAAAAGACAGGCUGAGGACAUGGGGGGCAUAGACCAUAGGGUCCUGCUCCGUUUCACUAAGACCCUUCCAGAGCCUCAGAAGGGCCGUUGAAGCGUCUCUUGCUGUGGUAGGAAUCACCGCAGAACACGGUGACUUAAAAUGAGAAUAAUCAUUUCAUCAUCUCACACGAUUCUGGAGGUUGACUGGGCUCAGCCAGGCGGCUCUCUCACUCGGGCUCCCUGGGGGCUCGAGUUCAGAUGCUGGCUGGGUCUGGGAUCAUCUCAAAGGGCUCCUCACUCGCGUGUCUCAGGGUGGAUACUGCCUGUCGCUGGGACCUCAGGUCGCAUGUGGGCUAGAGCACCUGUGGCCUCUGCGUGGAUCCUGGGCUUUCUGGAAGUGUAGCAGCCGGCUUCCUAUCUCCUUUAUGACCAAGCCUGGGGAGUCACAAGCAUCACCCCCACCAUAAUCACAGACUUGCUCAGACCGCCAGGGAGGACACAUGGACCCCAGCUUUCAGUGGGAGGAGCGUGACCUCACACCGUGGGAGGAUCACGCGUGAUGGGCGGUCCUGUUGUUGCCAUCGUGGAAAACACCGUCUGCCACGGGGCCCGUGGAAGGGAGGAGCCCUGCAGCUUAAGCUUUCGUCAUUUCUCUGUACAUCUCGAUCUAUUCACUUGUGUUCCCCAAUUCAGCCUUUUCUAUAGCUUCUCAACGGUGCGUCCCUAAAAACUCUUCCUUCUCCUGCCUUAACGCAGAUCAAAUCCUCGGAGUUUGCCCGAGCAGCUUCAAGCACGUCGGCUCUACUGAAGGUCAAGCCAGAGAUUCGUCCUUCCUCCGCCACCCCUGCUGGUGGUGUCAGAACACUCCGGCAUCACUGUGUCUUUGCUAGGAGCGACAAUGAUGGGUGACAGUGAUGCCGUUUGCUAAAGACUGUGUUUUAAGAAUAUCAUCUUUGGCUCUGUCAUCAAGAAUUCAUUUCACUCGCCUGGCACUUGGAGGCAUCUGAGUUUGCAACCCCUGACUGGAGCAAAGAAGCAGAGGACACGGGUUCGAGCCCUGGUCUGGGAAGAUCCCACAUGCCGCGGAGCAGCUAAGCUUGUGCACCACAACUACCGAGCCUGCACUCUAGAGCCCGCGAGCCACAGCUGCUGAGCCCGUGAGCCACAACUACUGAAGCCCGUGAGCCACAACUACUGAAGCCCGCACACCUAGAGCCCGUGCUCCACAACAAGAGAAGGCACAGCGAUGAGAAGCCCGCGCACCGCAACGAAGAGUAGCCCCCGCUCGCCGCAACUAGAGAAAAGCCAGAGUGCAGCAACGAAGACCCAACGCGGCCACAAAUAAAUAAAUUUACUUUUAAAAAGUGGA